ACCACAACGGGUGGAGCCUGCGGUUUAAUUGGACUCAACGCCGGGCAGCUCACCGGAUAAGACAGCUGGAUGAUAGCCGGGCUGAAGACUCUGCUUGACUAGCUGAGAGGAGGUGCAUGGCCGUCGUCAGUUCGUACUGUGAAGCAUCCUGUUAAGUCAGGCAACGAGCGAGACCCACGCCAACAGUUGCCAGCAUGUCCUCCGGGAUGAUGGGGACACUGUUGGGACCGCCUCUGCUAAAGAGGAGGAAGGAAUGGGCAACGGUAGGUCAGCAUGCCCCGAAUUAUCCGGGCUACACGCGGGCUACAAUGGUCAGGACAAUGGGUAUCGACACCGAGAGGUGGAGGCGAUCUCCUAAACCUGUCCUUAGUUCGGAUUGUGGGCUGCAACUCGCCCACAUGAAGCUGGAAUCCGUAGUAAUCGCGUUUCAAAAUAGCGCGGUGAAUAUGUCCCUGCUCCUU
rnacentral:rRNA from 1 species